GCGUAGCCCUGAUUGCAACGGCAUCCUUUUCUGAAGAAUGAAGAAAAGAUACAGUGAAAAGCAGGAAAUAGC
rnacentral:sRNA from 1 species